CAUCCUCUACCGUGUUCGUGAGCGGCUAAGUAACCUUUGAGCCGUAAUCAAAACCUUUGGGGACGGGCUGUCGGGUUUGUGUGCAUGUCCGCAUGACGGAAAGCCUAAUGACCUGCAUAUGUUCCCACUUGAACCUUUGGUUCAAGGUCUGAUGCAGCAAACGGCACAGAUGGAGGAUGC
rnacentral:other from 1 species